UAGUGGCGAACGGGUGAGUAACACGUGGGUAAUCUGCCCUUCACUCUGGGACAAGCCCUGGAAACGGGGUCUAAUACCGGAUAUCACUUGCGCAGGCAUCUGUGCGGGUUGAAAGCUCCGGCGGUGAAGGAUGAGCCCGCGGCCUAUCAGCUUGUUGGUGAGGUAACGGCUCACCAAGGCGACGACGGGUAGCCGGCCUGAGAGGGCGACCGGCCACACUGGGACUGAGACACGGCCCAGACUCCUACGGGAGGCAGCAGUGGGGAAUAUUGCACAAUGGGCGCAAGCCUGAUGCAGCGACGCCGCGUGAGGGAUGACGGCCUUCGGGUUGUAAACCUCUUUCAGCAGGGAAGAAGCGCAAGUGACGGUACCUGCAGAAGAAGCGCCGGCUAACUACGUGCCAGCAGCCGCGGUAAUACGUAGGGCGCAAGCGUUGUCCGGAAUUAUUGGGCGUAAAGAGCUCGUAGGCGGCUUGUCACGUCGGGUGUGAAAGCCCGGGGCUUAACCCCGGGUCUGCAUUCGAUACGGGCAGGCUAGAGUGUGGUAGGGGAGAUCGGAAUUCCU
rnacentral:rRNA from 1 species